GAUCGGCUGCCAGCCGCGUUCCGGGCAAGGGAACAGAGUGCAGUGAACAACAACUUCCCAUUUUCCUCUCAUGACAACAGACACUGUCUACAGAAUGUAGGAGAGUACUUUGAUUUGGGUUUGGGCCGAAGGAAGGUGGAACCACACAGAAGGCAGCAGAACUCACAGAACUUCUUCCAGUGGGCUUCAGAACCGGUUAGAAGGAGCGAAGAUGGCUUAACCACUUAUCA